rnacentral:rRNA from 1 species
GAUGAACGCUGGCGGCGUGCCUAAUACAUGCAAGUCGAGCGAACAGAUGAGGAGCUUGCUCCUCUGACGUUAGCGGCGGACGGGUGAGUAACACGUGGAUAACCUACCUAUAAGACUGGGAUAACUUCGGGAAACCGGAGCUAAUACCGGAUAAUAUAUUGAACCGCAUGGUUCAAUAGUGAAAGACGGUUUUGCUGUCACUUAUAGAUGGAUCCGCGCCGCAUUAGCUAGUUGGUAAGGUAACGGCUUACCAAGGCAACGAUGCGUAGCCGACCUGAGAGGGUGAUCGGCCACACUGGGACUGAGACGCGGUCCAGACUCCUACGGGAGGCAGCAGUAGGGAAUCUUCCGCAAUGGGCGAAAGCUUGACGGAGCAACGCCGCGUGAGUGAUGAAGGUCUUCGGAUCGUAAAACUCUGUUAUUAGGGAAGAACAAAUGUGUAAGUAACUAUGCACGUCUUGACGGUACCUAAUCAGAAAGCCACGGCUAACUACGUG